rnacentral:rRNA from 1 species
AUUGAACGCUGGCGGCAUGCCUUACACAUGCAAGUCGAACGGUAACGGGCCUUCGGGUGCCGACGAGUGGCGAACGGGUGAGUAAUACAUCGGAACGUGCCCGAUCGUGGGGGAUAACGAGGCGAAAGCUUUGCUAAUACCGCAUACGAUCUAAGGAGGAAAGCAGGGGACCGCAAGGCCUUGCGGGGACGGAGCGGCCGAUGGCAGAUUAGGUAGUUGGUGGGAUAAAAGCUUACCAAGCCGACGAUCUGUAGCUGGUCUGAGAGGAUGAUCAGCCACACUGGAACUGAGACACGGCCCAGACUCCUACGGGAGGCAGCAGUGGGGAAUUUUGGACAAUGGGCGCAAGCCUGAUCCAGCCAUGCCGCGUGCAGGAUGAAGGCCUUCGGGUUGUAAACUGCUUUUGUACGGAACGAAAAGCCUUCUUUUAAUACAGGAGGGUCAUGACGGUACCGUAAGAAUAAGCACCGGCUAACUACGUG